UACGUAGGGUGCAAGCGUUGUCCGGAAUUACUGGGCGUAAAGAGCUCGUAGGUGGUUUGUCGCGUUGUUCGUGAAAACUCACAGCUCAACUGUGGGCGUGCGGGCGAUACGGGCAGACUGGAGUACUGCAGGGGAGACUGGAAUUCCUGGUGUAGCGGUGGAAGUGCGCAGAUAUCAGGAGGAACACCGGUGGCGAAGGCGGGUCUCUGGGGCAGUAACUGACGCUGAGGAGCGAAAGCGUGGGGAGCGAACAGG
rnacentral:rRNA from 1 species